GGGCAAUUAGCUCAGCUGGUUAGAGCGCCACAUUGACAUUGUGGAGGUCAGUGGUUCGAGUCCACUAUUGCCCA
rnacentral:tRNA from 1 species